GACGAACCGUGCGAACGUUAUUCGGAAUCAUUGGGCUUAAAGGGCGCGUAGGCGGCGGUGUAAGUUGGAAGUGAAAUCCCAUCGGCUCAACCGUGGAAUUGCUCCCAGUACUGCAUCGCUCGAGGGGGAUAGGGGUUUGCGGAACUACCGGUGGAGCGGUGAAAUGUGUUGAUAUCGGUGGGAACGCCAGUGGCGAAAGCGGCGCUCUGGUCCUCUUCUGACGCUGAGGCGCGAAAGCCAGGGGAGCAAACGGG
rnacentral:rRNA from 1 species